AUUGAACGCUGGCGGCAGGCCUAACACAUGCAAGUCGAGCGGAUGAAGGGAGCUUGCUCCUGGAUUCAGCGGCGGACGGGUGAGUAAUGCCUAGGAAUCUGCCUGGUAGUGGGGGAUAACGUCCGGAAACGGGCGCUAAUACCGCAUACGUCCUGAGGGAGAAAGUGGGGGAUCUUCGGACCUCACGCUAUCAGAUGAGCCUAGGUCGGAUUAGCUAGUUGGUGGGGUAAAGGCCUACCAAGGCGACGAUCCGUAACUGGUCUGGGAGGAUGAUCAGUCACGCUGGAACUGGGACACGGUCCAGACUCCUACGGGAGGCAGCAGUGGGGAAUAUUGGACAAUGGGCGAAAGCCUGAUCCAGCCAUGCCGCGUGGGUGGAGAAGGUCUUCGGAUGGGAAAGCACUUUAAGUUGGGGGGAAGGGCAGUAAGUUAAGACCUUGCUGUUUUGACGUUACCAGCAGAAUAAGCACCGGCUAACUUCGUG
rnacentral:rRNA from 1 species